GAUGAAGAACGCAGUGAAAUGCGAUAAGUAGUGUGAAUUGCAGAAUUCAGUGAAUCAUCGAAUCUUUGAACGCACAUUGCGCCCCCUGGUAUUCCGGGGGGCAUGCCUGUUCGAGCGUCAUUUCACCACUCAAGCCUCGCUUGGUAUUGGGCAACGCGGUCCGCCGCGUGCCUCAAAUCGUCCGGCUGGGUCUUCUGUCCCCUAAGCGUUGUGGAAACUAUUCGCUAAAGGGUGUUCGGGAGGCUACGCCGUAAAACAACCCCAUUUCUAAGGUUGACCUCGGAUCAGGUAGGGAUACCCGCUGAACUUAAGCAUAUCAAAGCGGAGGA
rnacentral:misc_RNA from 1 species